CCAUUUAAUACGACAUCUCACAGGUUGGCUGGUUCUGUUUCGUUUCUGUAUCCCCCUUCCUCUGAUGCUUAUCGAACAAUGGCGGCCUUGGCGACGGCCGACGGAUGGUGGGACUGGAUCCGGUCGACAGGUUCGCUGUCCCAACCAUGUACGGCGGUGUGUUCUGAGUGGUAACCCAGCCGACACUAGAUCUGGUUGAAGCGGACGACAAGUGCAGAAUGGGAGGAGCCGUGGAUGUGUUCGCGCCUCUCCAACUGAAUCUGAACACGCUGUGCGAUAUGAGCAGCUUAUCGCCGCCGGACUCUGAACAGUCCACGAGCAAGGACGACCCGCAAGCUCCUGGUUGGACAUGGAGACAAAAGCUAUGUGAUGCAGGGUGCUUGUUGGACAGGCUCCUGCGCCAUGUUCGGGUAGAGUUUGUGCCCUUGAGAAGACAAUCAGGGGGUUAGCUGAGAAGAAGACUGACACUGUUGUUGGAAGUUCGUUUGACUCAUUAUUAGGCGAGGUGACUACUAGAAUUUGUACUCCUGGGUAUGUUGGAUGUUAAUUGGUACGGUGAGAGCAAGAGCAAGGUUAACUUUGAAAAGACAAAGUGCAUACAGGGGAUAGUAUGUGGGUGCUCGUUAUGGCCUAACUUCGUUCGGUUAAACAUUGUGUUCGCUCACUAGCUGGAAAAAAAAGUUGUGCUAAAACUUUUUAUCAAAAAAAAGUUGUGCUAAACUGGUUUAUAAUUACUGGGUAAGCCAAAAAGGACCAACACAAGAUCAUGCCAGCGAUGAUUCGUCUACUCAGCUCGGAGGACAACAACUGAUACAUAAGCGAGCACAGGGCCAAGCCAUCGCAGUUCAAGGACGACAAGUUAAAGUUAUGUGUGUUUGCUCGGGAAGCCGAAGAAGUUGAACACUCGAUCUUGCGAUGUGAGUGCCUGGCAGUGAUAAGGCUACUGAUUUACAAUGCGAGUUACUAGUUGUCCGUGCAAUUUGUACAAUUUGAUUUUCUCUUGUAAGCUAGGAUUUUCCUAAACCUGUAUACAUUUUACGUAAACAUGUGUUAGCGGGAAAAUAAACCAAUCAGUGGCAAUCGGUGUCGCGAGUGUAUUGCGACAAAUGACGAUUGUCGUCGAGGUCUGUUGUGUUCUCUGAAUCAAACUUUCUAUUUGUUCCCUGA